AUUGAACGCUGGCGGCAGGCCUAACACAUGCAAGUCGAACGAGUGGCGGACGGGUGAGUAAUGUCUGGGAAACUGCCCGAUGGAGGGGGAUAACUACUGGAAACGGUAGCUAAUCCCGCAUACCAUCGGAUGUGCCCAGAUGGGAUUAGCUAGUUGGUGGGGUAACGGCUCACCUAGGCGACGAUCCCUAGCUGGUCUGAGAGGAUGACCAGCCACACUGGAACUGAGACACGGCCCAGACUCCUACGGGAGGCAGCAGUGGGGAAUAUUGCGCAAUGGGCGCAAGCCUGAUGGAGCCAUGCCGCGUGUAUGAAGAAGGCCUUCGGGUUGUAAAGUACUUUCAGAGGGGAGGCGUUACCCGCAGAAGAAGCACCGGCUAACUCCGUGCCAGCAGCCGCGGUAAUAC
rnacentral:rRNA from 1 species